CAUGGAGGCGAUGUGGCUCAAUCAUCUCUUCAAAGAAUUUCCAGCUGAAACAGGAAUUACAAAGGCCUUGCUGCAGGAGGAAAGGCUUUGGGUGGAGAAGAGGAGCCUUUUGACUAUGGAAUAGCUAUGGACCUAUCAAGAUGGGAGUAAGGGAUGGGAUGGAAGAGAGCAUAGCAAGGUACUUGGAAAAUGAUUGCAACAAAGUGACAGAGUUGUCCAUUGUGGUGUGUUUUGGGUUUUUGGUUUGUUCUUUUUUAAAUGCUCAACAUAAAAGAAACAAGCUCCUGAUAAAGGCCUGCUGCUAAAUAAUGGAUUUUGAACAAGCAGCGUUUACAGGUGCCAGAACUACCUCUGUGAAUAUCUGUAAUGUUUUGACAAAUCCCAUUUGAUGUCAAAACCUCCUACUUCCUCUCAAAAAAAAUUUGGUGACUUGAGUGCCUAGAUCCAGGAGCCAGUUGCAAUCCUGAACAGCCAAGCCUGGGGAGACUCUGGGCAGGGAACAGAGAACACUUCCCUGCAGGUCCUUGAGCAGCUUCUGUCAAUCUUCUUGAUACCUGUGGGAGUUGCAUGCACAGCCAGAUGUAAUAGCCUCUGCAGGUGAAAAUUCUGAAAAUACUUGUCUGCGUACAAGCAUGGCUUCAGCCUACAGCUAGUAUUGUGAAGUUAAUGAAAUACGUACUUUCAGAUCUCCUGAGAUAUUGGCUCCUGCAAGAAUGCCAGUAGCAGCUGGGAAAAAAAUGGCAAACAC